CCAAAACAGAAAGGAAAGCUCACCACCAGAAUGUGCCUUUUCCUUAUCAAAAAGAAUUGCUGCCCCUUACAGGACAGGAGGACUCCAAUUGUGACCAAGUUGGAGCAGCCUUGAGCCACAACUCAGACUUAUUUUCAUUCUCUGCUCAUUGGCCAUUAGGAACCCGAUCCUUAUGACCUGCAGUGACCUGCUGCUACCAGAACUGACUCGCUUCAAAGUGACGGAUGAAACCCAUAUGGAGAUAUUCCUGGGGUGGGUAGGCCAGUUGGAAGACAGAGUGUUUACACCUGAGAGAGGACUUGAGCAUAUCUG
rnacentral:lncRNA from 1 species